AUUGAACGCUGGCGGCAUGCCUUACACAUGCAAGUCGAACGGUAACAGGUCUUCGGAUGCUGACGAGUGGCGAACGGGUGAGUAAUACAUCGGAACGUGCCCGAUCGUGGGGGAUAACGAGGCGAAAGCUUUGCUAAUACCGCAUACGAUCUACGGAUGAGAGCGGGGGAUCUUCGGACCUCGCGCGGACGGAGCGGCCGAUGGCAGAUUAGGUAGUUGGUGGGAUAAAAGCUUACCAAGCCGACGAUCUGUAGCUGGUCUGAGAGGAUGAUCAGCCACACUGGGACUGAGACACGGCCCAGACUCCUACGGGAGGCAGCAGUGGGGAAUUUUGGACAAUGGGCGAAAGCCUGAUCCAGCCAUGCCGCGUGCAGGAUGAAGGCCUUCGGGUUGUAAACUGCUUUUGUACGGAACGAAAAGCCUCUUUCUAAUAAAGAGGGGUCAUGACGGUACCGUAAGAAUAAGCACCGGCUAACUACGUG
rnacentral:rRNA from 1 species